GUGAUUUCAUGGGCAGCACAUAUACUAAAUUGGCACAGUACAGUGAAGAUAAGAAUUGUCCCUGCCCAUGGAUGACAAGUAAAUUCAUGAAGUGUUCCAUAUUAAA
ensembl:snRNA U6 U6 spliceosomal RNA